CACGUAGUUAGCCGUGGCUUUCUGAUUGGUACCGUCAAGAUGUGCACAGUUACUUACACAUUUGUUCUUCCCUAAUAACAGAGUUUUACGAGCCGAAACCCUUCAUCACUCACGCGGCGUUGCUCCGUCAGGCUUUCGCCCAUUGCGGAAGAUUCCCUACUGCUGCCUCCCGUAGGAGUCUGGACCGUGUCUCAGUUCCAGUGUGGCCGAUCACCCUCUCAGGUCGGCUACGUAUCGUCGCCUUGGUAAGCCGUUACCUUACCAACUAGCUAAUACGGCGCGGGUCCAUCUAUAAGUGAUAGCAAAACCAUCUUUCACUUUAGAACCAUGCGGUUCUAAAUGUUAUCCGGUAUUAGCUCCGGUUUCCCGAAGUUACUCCCAGUCUUAUAGGUAGGUUACCCACGUGUUACUCACCCGUCCGCCGCUAACUUCAAAGGAGCAAGCUCCUUAUCUGUCCGCUCGACUUGCUACGUAUUAGUGACGACGCCCGACGACGUCGUACUCUCGUAGCCACGAGUACUAACAACUCUACGUACG
rnacentral:rRNA from 1 species